ACUCUUACGCAGAAUAUGCUGGCAACAUAUUUAAAUAUAUCAGAAGGCAUUGCUUUCCUAUGUCAGUUUCCAAGAGACGUGGCCACUCCUAAUGAUCUUUUGAUCUCAGCUUAAGAUGCCACAUCACCUCCUCCAGGAAGGCCUCCUUCACCCUUGACAAGCGGUCAAGGGUGCUGCUGGGGCCUGGGCUUCAAAAGCAGCCCCAGCAGGUCCCAGCAGCACCCUGGACCUCGGACCUCCUUCAGCCUGUUGCCUCGUUUGUCUCUCCCACUGGACAGAGAUCCUCUGAAGGUCCUGGUGCCUGAGCCCAUUCCCGCUGUCCCGCUCCCUAGAAAGGCAGGGUCACCUCUCCAGGGCAGAAUUCGCUCUUCCAGCCUCUGCAGCCUCUUAUUCCCGCAGGUCCUCCUGGAGACAAGAGGCAGAGGUAUGGUCCCCGGAAGACUGAAAAAUGAGCUGGCAGACUGGACGCGUCACACGUGCCCCAAGUGGUCUACCCCACGUGUUGACAAUGAUCUUGAGAGCUGAUGGUUAAGUGUUAACUACAUGACUGGCAUAAGCCUCUACUCAUUUAGUCCUCAAAAUACCCUUAUAAGUGCUCUUAUUCUUGCCAUUUAAAAGAUGGGGGACACAAGAGAAAUAAAGCUAGCUAGAGCAAUGGUCGGACUCUGGGAGCACUUGACCUUAACCUCGAUCGACCCACUUCUUAGGAGGCAUCAGGAAGCAGUGAUGCAGGAGGAAAGGAAGUGGAUUCCAAGUCAGCCAGUCAAGUCUAAGCUCUGUAACCUAUCAGCGCACUGGGCUGCAUUUGGCAACUCAUGCACCCUCUCUGAGUGCUCGCUCUGCAAAUCGCACUGGUUUGUUGUGAUGAUCAAAUGAGGUGUGUACUAAGCGAAUGCUGAAACGAUCAAGCCCUGGGCAGAUGCGAGAGGGUGGCAUUAUUAUUUUCCCAGAAUCUCACUUAGCAGUGGAGAGAGAGUUGGAGCUCAGGCAUCCUGCUCCAUCCCCUCUGGUGACGCUAACUGCACUUUAUUGAGACUAUGUUUGGGAUUCUGUCCGGGACUUAACCUCUGUCUCCACAGCACGUGGCUCAGUACCUGGUCCAGAGAGGCAUCGGGUACGUGGUACUAGUCGGUGGCGGUGAGAGUGAGCGUGGCAAUAGGAGGAGAGGCCCCAGAAGCGGCACUUUGGAGUGACUUUCUGGGCGGCUGCAGGACCAGCCUGUGGCCAGCAGAGGGCAGCAGAGGGCAGCAGAGAACCCCCCUUCUUUCCUCCCCCCCCCCCCCCCCCCCCCCCCCCCCCNGCCGGUGUCCGCGAAAGCCCGGGUACCGGCCAGGUCUCCGUGCAUCUCGGACCUUGCGCAGCAUUUGGCCUCCCUCCUAAGGGGUGGAAAUUGCGCUCAGUUUGACUAAAAUGUUUCCCCGAAACUUAGCAGUUUGCACAUUUCGGCCUGAAACCAGAGCAACAAGAGGAGUAGUUUUCGUCACCAGGGCCAUUCCCAUUGUUGGCCACGCCAGGACGGACCUCCGGGCAGUCUGCAGCUCUCCGGGGAAGGCCGGCGGCGCUUCCUACUUCCUUCACACGGAGCGCAGUGCAUUUGACAAAAGGUCUUACCGAAUUUGGAAAGAGUGCCUGGCUUUAGUAGAUUGAGAACUGGGAACUUCUGCUUUUGUUUUGUUUUUAAUAAUGUUUUUUAACAAUGCAGUCAAAGGUCCCUUAGAGCUGCCAUCUACCUAUUAUUUUGAUGUUCUGUCGUUAGUGGAAAGCCGCACCGGCCCGGGUUGGAGUCAUUUAAAGUGAUUGAAUGGCUGGUAAUUAUUUUAGCUAGCAAUGGAAAGGAGGGCCUGCUUUUACUAAUUGAUGGGCCAACCUUAUUAUUUUUUCCAUUUGACACCAAAAGCCUGCUGGAACUAAUGGCCUUUCAAGAGAAGGCAAAAGCUUUCUAUUUAUUUAUUCUCUGGCUUUUACAAGGUUCCAUUUUAAUAUCCCUUAAUUACUCUACAGCAGUUGAAUGAAGGGGUUAAGAGUGUGGGCUUUGGAGUCAGACAAAACCAGGCUUGAAUCCCAGCUAUCCAGCUUACCAGCUGCAUGAACUGGGCCACUUAUGGUACCGCUCGGAGCUUUAAUUUCCUUAUCGGUAAAAUAGCAACACUAAUUCCUGCCUCAAAGGUUUAUUGUGAAGAUUCAAUGAGAUGAUGCAUCUAAAGCACUUAGCCUGGAGCCUGGUACACGAUGUGCGCUCAGUAAAUCAUAGCUCUUAAUAUUACUCGAAAUUGUCCAAAUGCUAAAACCCACACGUGGGCAAUUAGGAAUUCAUCUUGAGGAUAGUCAAUGGCCAUGAUAAAAUGCUCAGAACAAACCCUGAUAAAGUAAUGAGGUUCAGAGGGAUGAGGUCAUUGCCCAAAGUUGGUCAGAAAGUGCUAGAAAGGGACCCGAAGCUCUGUCUGUCUGAGGCUAGAACUAAGCUUCCCCUGUGAACUUUGUUCUGGAAGGGACAGCUUCCCUCCAUCCUGAGAUCUCUCAGAGCCCUGAUGUCAGGGACCUGCCCUGCGCCCCCUUGGAGUCUAGCCCUGAGCCCACUGCUCUGCAGCCAGCUCCCAGGAAGCCCAGGUACAGAUACGCGGCCCCAGGUCACACAGUUGGCUGAGCAAGAACACAUGGAGAAAGAGUGGUAAAUCCAUCCUUCCUUAGCCUUAACCUUGUGCUUCUGGAACCUGCAUCCGGUCAUUCCUAAACAUGGCACAGGAAGUGCACUGAUGAUCAGAGCAGACCCAGCUCACAGUCUAAGGGGGAACUCAGACAAGGGGAUAGUCAGUUGGGAUAAACAUGGGGUGGUGCUGUGAUGGGGACGACCGGAGCGUCAUAGAUGCUCAGAGGAGGGCAUCUAACCCAGGGGUGAGGGUGCAGGUCCAGGAAGGAUGUGUAAAGUCCAUCUGUUCUCUUUGUUGGCCAACAGUAAUAUCACUUGGUCAGUGGCACAAUGCUAUUUUCAUUUAUUUUUUGAACCAACUUUUAUGGAACGAAGUCCCUGUGCCAGCCGCUGUGCUAGGCACGAUACAAGAGAGAGGAGUCAGCCCUGGGUAUUGCCCUUCUGCAAGCUAGCGCUUUCAUUUAGCAAGUGGGUGGCCAUAGUGCUUUUCGGUUUAUUCGGAAUUAUCGAAGCCAUCAGCUUCAGGUGACAGGUAACAAUAAGUCUGAAAAGUUCAUUGGUUGGAUUUCUGCCUGGUUAAAACAUCUAUUGGUUAUUUGUUGUUUUCACAUCACAAAAUGUGUUCGUUCGUGAGCAGGGAAAUAUACCUGAAUUUCUGGAACUUCCUGCAUGGUUAUAUGUUAUAGUGUCAACGAAUGGAGACUUGACGGUUGACCUUCAACUUUUGAGGAUGAAAUCAAAUUCAAGGUCAGUGAUAUGAGAAGACGCGUUAACAGGUUCAUCUGGUAUUUGGCUUCCAUUUUCUUUUUUUUCGUCUUUUCUCGGGCUGUACCCACAGCAUAUGGAGGUUCCCAGGCUAGGGAUCUGAUUGGAGCUGUAGCCACCGGCCUACACCACAGCCACAGCAACGUGGGAUCCGAGCCACGUCUGCGACCUACACCACAGCUCACGGCAAUGCCGGAUCUUUAACUCACUGAGUGAGGCCAGGGAUCGAACCCGCAGCCUCUUGGUUCCUAGUUGGAGUCAUUAACCACUGAAUCAUGAUGGGAACUCCUGGCUUCCCAUUUUUAAAUUCUAGUUUUAUUCCAUUUAGAACCUCGUCAUUUUACAACCAUGGAUUUGUUCUCUCUCUUUUUUUCACUGUAUGUAAACGGAAGCCUGCUUACCCCUUCUUCUGGAACUCCAAAGCAUUUCUCUUUUCAGUAGAAAAGACAAUAUACUCUCAAAGUAUCAAGCUCUUUGGACCUAGAAUUGGAAACAUUCCUACCAUAAUUUCAAUAAUUCUGGAAGUUACUGAGGUUGAGCCAGUUAAAGUGGACAUGUCACCAUUGCAGUUAGGUUUGGGGACACAAAAUCCCAGGGAAAGGGUUGGGAAAUUGGAAAAGGGGUCCUGAUUGUCUUUCCCAAACUGCCUUUUCUGAUAUUAGCAAAAGCUGGAAGCCACUUAACAGGACAUGAGACUGUACUGCUGUUUGCCCCGGAUGCUAUUUCAACGCAUUUCACUUUCCAGCUUCACGGGGAAUGUGUUCAUGGGGUUUGAAAUGUAAUCCUCCGCUGUUGCCUUCAAAGCGUGAGCAACUCAUUACCAGAAAACUAGGUUUUUGUACCAUCUAGUGGCACGACCAAAAAUAGCUGACUCAUAAAUAUUUUUUAAGUUAAUGGUCUUGGAGAAAGUCUCCGAGGGCCCAGCUCACUGUGGAUGGUUUCAUAUAGAAAUUAUAGUGCAGAGAAAUGGUCAGCUCCCUCAUUCUGUUAUUAUUAUCAGCUCUGUGGCUUGAUUCCUCACCUUGUCAUGAGCAUGAGAGGUUUGGGUCUGCAUUGACUCCGGGGUGGGAGCGGGGGUGUCAAGGAUAAACAGCAUACGUGCAUUGCUAGAGCACAACCUCUCCUGCUCUCUUUUUUCCUUUCUGGGACAUCAUUUGAAAGUUCCAGAACUCUCUAAGAAAAAUUUUUCCAAAGUUCAAAUGUGGGAAUUCCCGUUGUGGCUCAGUGGUUAAAGAAUCCAAAUAGGAACCAUGAGGUUGCGGGUUCGAUCCCUGGCCUUGCUCGAUGGGUUAAGGAUCUGGCAUUGCCGUGAGCUGUGGUGUAGGCCACAGACACGGGUCGGAUCCCAUGUUGCUAUGGCUGUGGUGUAGGCCGGGGGUUACAGCUGUGAUUAGACUCCUAGCCUGGGAAUGUCCAUAUGCUGCAGGUGCAGCCCUAGAAAAGACAAAAAGACAAAAUAAAAUAAAAUAAAAAAUAAAGUUCAAAUGUGGUUAAAAAAAAAAAAAGCACAUAAUGUGAAAUUUACCAUCUUAACUAUUUCUAAGUGUACAGUUCAGUCCUGUAAAGUAUUUUCACAAUGUUGCACAGCAGAUUUCCAGAACUUUCCAUCUUGCAAAACGGAGACUCUGUACCAGUGAACAACAACACCCCCCUCCUCCUCCCCCUCAGGAGGUUUUAUCAGGGGAUCACUCAUAGCCGAUCCUUUUAUGGGCCAGAGUUGUUGUUGUUGUUGUUUUCUAAAAGGAAUAAUUGCCGCAAAAACUCCUCUCUCCCUUCCCUGCCCACUACUUGGGAAUAACAAAAUGAAUCUAAAUUAGUGAUGUGUUUAUAUUUUUUAACCAAAUCUCAGAGCUGAGUUCCUGUUUGCCACCAUCCUUGCCAGUGAGAGCCGGGAGCAGAAGUUUUAAGACCUUAAAAUGCAGGAUUCAGGAGUUCCCGUUGUGGCUCAGUGGUUAACAAAUCCGACUAGGAACCAUGAGGUUGCGGGUUCGAUCCCUGGCCUCGCUCAAUGGGUUAAGGAUCCGGCGUUGCCGUGAGCUGUGGUGUGGGUCGCAGACGCGGCUCGCAUCCCAAGUUGCUGUGGCCCUGGCGUAGGCUGGUGGCUACGGCUCCCAUUCGACCCCUAGCCUGGGAACCUCCAUAUGCCGUGAGAGCGGCCCAAGAAAUGGCAAAAAGACAGUAAAUAAAUAAGUGAAAUGCAGGAUUCUGUAUUCUGUAAAAAUAAAAAGUGAAAAUUAACUCUUUUUUGAAUUAAAGGAUCCAGUCAAGGGAAUUUAAGACUCAUCAGGGAAAAGUCACAAAGAGAUCCCAGUGGGCUGGCAAAACGAUUUCCUUAGAAAAGGGAGAGCAGGUUUGGCAUGCUGCCUCUGCCAAGUUUCAAGCUGUGUGGUUGCUAGAGACUGAAUGUUUGGGUCCCCCCCAAAUGUACAUGUUUUGACCUACCCCUCAUUGUGAUGGUAUUAGGAAGUGGGCCUUUGAGAGUGAUUAGGUCACAAGGGUGGAGCCCUUAAGAAUGGGAUUAGUGCCCUUAGAAAAGAAGCCCAGAGGAGUUCCUGUCGUGGUGCAGUGGUUAACGAAUCCAACUAGGAACCAUGAAGAUGUGGGUUCGAUCCCUGGCUUUGCUCAAUGGGUUAAGGAUCUGGCAUUGCGUGAGCUGGGGUGUAGGUCGCAGACGCGACUUGGAUCCUGUGUUGCUGUGGCUGUGGUGUAGGCCGGCAGCUGUAGCUCCGAUUGGACCCCUAGCCUGGGAACCUCCAUAUGCCACGGGUGCAGCCCUAAAAAGACAAAAAAAUAAAUGAAAAAAAAAAAAA
rnacentral:lncRNA from 1 species